GGCGCUUGAAGGAGGAUGUGCUCGAGCAGAGAGGCAGGUUACAGAAAUUGGUGGCAAAGGAGCAGCCCUUCUGGAUAUCGUCCGUGGCAGCCCUGCUUAAUACAGACCUUGUAGCCACAGGCUCCCAUAAUGCCUGUGUGCGACUUUGGCAGUGUGGAGAGGGCUUCCGGCAGCUUGAUCCUCUCUGUGACAUCCCCCUGGUUGGAUUUAUCAACAGCCUCAAGUUCUCCAGUGGUGGGGACUUCUUGGUGGCUGGAGUAGGACAGGAACACAGGCUGGGUCGAUGGUGGAGGAUCAAAGAGGCUCGGAACUCAGUCUGCAUCAUCCCGCUCCGAAGGGUCCCCGUGUCCCCUGUUGCUGGCUCCUGACACACCCUUAUUUAAGGAUUUCCAGGCCCCG
rnacentral:lncRNA from 1 species